UGUCAGUUUUGAAAAAUAUAUGCAAAUAAAUAUAAAUAAAUAAAUUGAAAAAAAAAAAUCUGAAACAAAAAAAUGGGAAGCACGAGCACGGCACUCAUGGCACACUUGCGGCUGAGCUACGGCUGCGUUUCCGGACGGUACGAGCCAAUCAGAACCGUGCGGAGUUCUGUGAAAGUCAACUGUUGUAGUUCGAGGCUGAGAUUCGGUGCGUGGCGGCGCAGGAAGAAUUUCAGUAGAUUCGAUUGUUUCGCGGCGUUUGACGGUGAUGAUGUGAGAGAGAAACAGCCGGAGAUAGGUACGAGUAAUAGCGGCACCGGAGGAGUUGGCUCAGCUCUUGAAGACAGACCUGAUGUGUCUGAUAUUGCAAGAGAUGAAACUGUAGCAAAUCUGAACAAGGAUGGCAGGGAAAGUUCGCUUUACAAUUUUCUUUAUCCAGAUAAAGAGCUCCUUCCUGAUGAUAAAGAAAUGAGUAUAUUUGAUCACCUAGAAGAGCUGCGUCAGAGAAUAUUUGUGUCAGUUUUGGCAGUUGGAGCUGCAAUAUUGGGAUGCUUUGCAUUUUCGAAAGAACUGAUAGUAUUUCUUGAAGCUCCUGUUAAAUCACAGGGUGUACGAUUUUUGCAACUAGCUCCUGGCGAGUUUUUUUUCACAACUUUGAAGGUAUCUGGAUAUUGUGGCCUUCUUUUGGGAAGCCCUGUUAUUCUUUAUGAGAUAAUAGCCUUUGUUCUUCCAGGUCUAACGAGUGCAGAGAGAAGGUUCUUGGGGCCAAUUGUUUUAGGUUCCUCAGUACUUUUCUAUACUGGUAUUGCCUUCUCUUACUGGGUUCUGACUCCAGCAGCCUUAAACUUCUUUGUAAAUUAUGCUGAAGGGGUUGUGGAAUCUUUGUGGUCAAUUGAUCAAUACUUCGAGUUUGUACUUGUGCUCAUGUUCAGCACAGGAUUGUCUUUCCAGGUUCCAGUCAUACAACUUCUAUUGGGACAAGUUGGGUUAGUUACAGGGGACCAAAUGCUGUCCAUCUGGCGAUAUGUUGUUGUUGGUGCAGUUGUUGCAGCGGCUGUCCUUACACCAUCAACAGAUCCUCUUACUCAGAUGCUUCUUGCAACACCCCUUCUGGGUCUUUAUUUGGGUGGUGCAUGGAUGGUUAAGCUUACAGGACGUUGAGAAAAUUGACUGUAUGAAUUCAUGUAUUGUUAGCGAAAGCAGGCACAUUUGGUGGCUUGCACAUUUGAGAUGCAAGAUGCCACCAUAUUACCAGAAGGGUGUAAUAUAAAUGCAACAGUACAUGGAAGGAAAGGAAGCUGAAGAAGAAGAUCUUCCCUCAAAUAUCCUCUCUCUUGCUUUAAUGGCCUGCAUGAUCAAGCACCAAGAAUACCAUAAAAAGUUAAUAUUCUAAAGUCAGAAUAAUAUCAAAGGAUUAGAUAGGAAUUGAACCAAUGUUUUUAAACUCAAGCCAGUCAUUAACGUUGAUUCUGGUCAAUUGAUUUUAGAUCGUUUAAUCAGUGGUUCGACUAAUGUGAUAACAACACUUGUUAGUAUCGAAACACCGUUUUUCUUCAAUAGAAUAAAAUUUGUUUAUCUAUUGAAA